CUACGGGAGCUGCAGUGGGGAAUAUUGGACAAUGGGGGAAACCCUGAUGCAGCAACGCCGCGUGGAGGAUGACGCAUUUCGGUGUGUAAACUCCUUUUAUAUGUCAAGAAAAUGACGGUAGCAUAUGAAUAAGCACCGGCUAACUCCGUGCCAGCAGCCGCGGUAAUACGGAGGGUGCAAGCGUUACUCGGAAUCACUGGGCGUAAAGGACGCGUAGGCGGGUUGGAAAGUCAGGUGUGAAAUCCUACAGCUUAACUGUAGAACUGCGCUUGAAACUUCUAAUCUAGAGUAUGGGAGGGGGAGAUGGAAUUAGUGGUGUAGGGGUAAAAUCCGUAGAUAUCACUAGGAAUACCUAAAGCGAAGGCGAUCUCCUGGAACAUUACUGACGCUAAGGCGUGAAAGCGUGGGGAGCAAACAGGAUUAGAUACCCUAGUAGUC
rnacentral:rRNA from 1 species